rnacentral:rRNA from 1 species
UAUCUCUGUAGAGUCUGCAUAUCAAUAAGCGGAGGAAAAGAAACUAACAAGGAUUCCCUUAGUAACGGCGAGUGAAGCGGGAAGAGCUCAAAUUUGAAAUCUUCAAGGUUCUACCUUGACGAAUUGUAGUUUAAAGAAGUGUUUUCUGUUAGAUGAGUAGCAAAAGUUCCUUGGAAUGGGACAUCAUAGAGGGUGAGAAUCCCGUAUUUGGUUAUUCAUUCUAGCUUUGUGAUACACUUUCAAAGAGUCGGAUUGUUUGGGAAUGCAGUCCAAAAUGGGUGGUAAAUUUCAUCUAAAGCUAAAUAUUGGCGAGAGACCGAUAGCGAACAAGUACCGUGAGGGAAAGAUGAAAAGAACUUUGAAAAGAGAGUUAAACAGUACGUGAAAUUGUCAAAAGGGAAGCGUUUGACACCAGUGUUGUUUUUCCGAAAAUCAAUUACGAAUGGCUUGAUUUUGUGUUGUAUUGACCUUAUCAGCUUUCUUCACUUUUUUCGAGUCUUUCUUAAUGCACUUUUCGGUUAACAAGUCAACAUCAAUUUCUUUUGUUGUAAAAGAGUAUUCGGAAGGUGGCUUUCUUUUCGGAGAAAGUGUUUAUAGCCCUAUACUUCUACAAUCGGAGAGAUUGAGGUCUGCAGCGUAGAUCCUUCGGGGUUAGAUACACUUGUGCUAAGUUGUAGCUUUUCAUAGACAACUUGUUGACUAUGUUUAGUCAUGCGGCUUACUCGCUUGUGCUAUUUUACCUACGCUUAGGAUGUUGACUGAUAUGUAGUCGU